rnacentral:rRNA from 1 species
GGCGGACGGGUGAGUAACGCGUGGGAACGUACCCUCUUCUGCGGAAUAGCCACUGGAAACGGUGAGUAAUACCGCAUACGCCCUUUUGGGGAAAGAUUUAUCGGAGGAGGAUCGGCCCGCGUUGGAUUAGGUAGUUGGUGGGGUAAUGGCCUACCAAGCCUACGAUCCAUAGCUGGUUUUAGAGGAUGAUCAGCCACACUGGGACUGAGACACGGCCCAGACUCCUACGGGAGGCAGCAGUGGGGAAUCUUAGACAAUGGGCGCAAGCCUGAUCUAGCCAUGCCGCGUGAGUGACGAAGGCCCUAGGGUCGUAAAGCUCUUUCGCCUGUGAUGAUAAUGACAGUAGCAGGUAAAGAAACCCCGGCUAACUCCGUGCCAGCAGCCGCGGUAAUACGGAGGGGGUUAGCGUUGUUCGGAAUUACUGGGCGUAAAGCGCGCGUAGGCGGAUUGGAAAGUUGGGGGUGAAAUCCCAGGGCUCAACCCUGGAACUGCCUCCAAAACUUCCAGUCUGGAGUUCGAGAGAGGUGAGUGGAAUUCCGAGUGUAGAGGUGAAAUUCGUAGAUAUUCGGAGGAACACCAGUGGCGAAGGCGGCUCACUGGCUCGAUACUGACGCUGAGGUGCGAAAGUGUGGGGAGCAAAC